rnacentral:ncRNA from 1 species
CAGUCAAAGGGGAGCAUUGAUCCCUAUAGCCAUUGACGGUCGCCAUCGCGGGGCCGCAGGUCCCGUCGGGCUAUGGGUGGAGCGAGUGGCGAGACCGACCCGGAAG